rnacentral:rRNA from 1 species
UCCAGAGAGUUUGAUCCUGGCUCAGGAUGAACGCUAGCGGGAGGCCUAACACAUGCAAGCCGAGCGGUAUUGUUUCUUCGGAAAUGAGAGAGCGGCGUACGGGUGCGGAACACGUGUGCAACCUGCCUUUAUCUGGGGGAUAGCCUUUCGAAAGGAAGAUUAAUACUCCAUAAUAUAUUGAACGGCAUCGUUUAAUAUUGAAAGCUCCGGCGGAUAGAGAUGGGCACGCGCAAGAUUAGCUAGUUGGUGAGGUAACGGCUCACCAAGGCAAUGAUCUUUAGGGGCCUGAGAGGGUGAUCCCCCACACUGGUACUGAGACACGGACCAGACUCCUACGGGAGGCAGCAGUGAGGAAUAUUGGUCAAUGGGUGCAAGCCUGAACCAGCCAUCCCGCGUGAAGGACGACUGCCCUAUGGGUUGUAAACUUCUUUUGUAUAGGGAUAAACCUUUCCACGUGUGGAAAGCUGAAGGUACUAUACGAAUAAGCACCGGCUAACUCCGUG